UAGAUUGAAGCCAGUUGAUUAGGGCAGUUAGCUGUUAACUAAAAAUUCAUGGGUUUAAGUCCCAUCAGUCUAGU
rnacentral:tRNA from 1 species